AGUCGAACGAGAGAAGAUUGGUGCUUGCACUGAUCCGAUCGAGUGGCGGACGGGUGAGUAACGCGUGGGUAACCUGCCUCAUACAGGGGAAUAACAGUUGGAAACGGCUGCUAAAACCGCAUAAGCGCACAGUAUCGCAUGAUACAGUGUGAAAAACUCCGGUGGUAUGAGAUGGACCCGCGUCUGAUUGGCUAGUUGGUGAGGUAACGGCCCACCAAGGCGACGAUCAGUAGCCGGCCUGAGAGGGUGAACGGCCACAUUGGGACUGAGACACGGCCCAAACUCCUACGGGAGGCAGCAGUGGGGAAUAUUGCACAAUGGGGGAAACCCUGAUGCAGCGACGCCGCGUGAGUGAUGAAGUAUUUCGGUAUGUAAAGCUCUAUCAGCAGGAAAGAUAAUGACGGUACCUGACUAAGAAGCACCGGCUAAAUACGUGCCAGCAGCCGCGGUAAUACGUAUGGUGCAAGCGUUAUCCGGAUUUACUGGGUGUGAAGGGUGCGUAGGUGGUGAGACAAGUCUGAAGUGAAAAUCCGGGGCUUAACCCCGGAACUGCUUUGGAAACUGCCUGACUAGAGUACAGGAGAGGUAAGUGGAAUUCCUAGUGUAGCGGUGAAAUGCGUAGAUAUUAGGAGGAACACCAGUGGCGAAGGCGACUUACUGGACUGCUACUGACACUGAGGCACGAA
rnacentral:rRNA from 1 species